CUCAGAAAGUUAGUUUCCCUUGGAGAGACAGAGAAGCUGACCCAGUUCACCUUAUUUAUACGAGGACAUUCACAUAGCUGGCGACCAUGUUAACAUUCAGCUACUCCAAAGCAUUCAAGGCAGAAGAAGUUAUAAAGAAGCCCCAGACAGUCUUCACUCUCAGGAGAACUUUCUGUCUAGCUGGCUAGUAAGCCCCAAGAAUCCACCUGUCAUGGUUUUCCACUGCUGGGAUUAUGAGUGCAGUCUGCCAUGCCUGGCAUUUUCUCAUCUGUGCUGGCAAUCACACUCGAGACUUCAUGCUUGUGGAAGAGUACUUUAUGGACCAAGCUAACUACUUACCCCCCUUCCAUCUCUUUAUACCUGUGUAAAACUUAAGGUUUCCAAGAGAAGGCAGCAAUUGAUAGUUUGUCCUUAGUCUGAGACAGACAGAGUUGAAAUGCUCUGACAAGAGUCUUAAAGGGAAGCAUUAGUCCGACUUCACCUGAACGGCUUUUAUGAGUGGUGUUUCAACCUUAGCUUCCACUCUUAGCCUACUUGACCAGAUCAAAUGCAUUAAGUUCACCUUCAACAUCUAUGGCUUCCCAGAUCAAGAUAGCUUUAGUUGUCUCUAUGAGGACUAUUUCCUACCAAGACCUGCUGCUAUUCUGUCUUUUGUCUUGCUCACAAGUAACCCAGACACUCCUUAGUUUAUGAUGUUUCAGAAACACUAGUUUAUGCAUUUACAGACCAUGUUUCCUAUUACUGUUUAGGAAUGGUGUUCUUCUUUUGAAUUCCUGCUUUCUCCUGGGAUAUUGUUUACACAGUGGAAAGCUUUCUCAGUAUACAUGAAGCCUCCUUAAUCUCUGUGACACACCAUAAAAACAGCAGUGCUUAAAGGUUUAUAAAAGUAUAUGUGAGUCCAUUUUCUGUUCCCAUAAGUGAGUUCAAUGGCCUGAGUAAUUUAAAGAGUAAAAAGGGUUAUUUGGCUCCUGGUUUGGAAGUUGGGAAGGUCAAAGGGCACUGAGCCUGCAUUUGCUUGGUAUCUACUAAGGGGCUUCUUACAGUAACCAUAAAGGCAGAUGGCAUUAAACAUCAAGGGUGAGCAAGUGUACUAGCUUGAAGCACCCUUCCUCAUCUUGUAAAGUCAGUAGUGACAUCAUGGGGAUCCUACUUUAUCUAACCAUAGUUACAUCUGAAAGUCCCCGUCUCCAAAUGUCAUUCGGCUGUGAUUUAAGGGAAUUCAAUUUCUACAACAUGAACUUUUUGGUGGGCACAUUCAAACUACAGUAAAGGACUUUUCUAGAAUAGAAAAAACAUGAACACUGAUUAAUUUUAAAGACAGAUGAUAUGUAUUUUAUAAAAUCUUUUCAUGAUAAAGGGGAAAAGAGAGAUUCAUAUGAUUCCCCUCAACCUGUCAGUUUGUGUCAUAUUUUAUAGAUUCAAAUCAAAUAAUAAGAAAUCAUAUAAUCAGUGAUGUUUACAUCUUUUUGAAAACCAAAUUUAUAUCAAUCAAAGCUCUACAUAAGAGAGCAACUCAGGGCUUCCUUUGGUAUUUGUUUGUUUGUUUGUUUAUAGACAGGUUGUCCCUAUGUAGCUCUGUCCUACAAUCUGCUGUAUAGACCUGUUAGCCUCAGACCCACAAAGAUGGGUCGGCCUGAGAAAGCCUCCUGCAUGAGAAAGAAUGCUUUUGCAUGAAUAUCCUUUCUUGGCUUCAAGAUACUUGGAUGCAUUCAACCCAAUCACCCAUCCCAACAUUCAAAUGUGUUUCUUUGUCAGGAACCAGCGCAUUCUGUUUCGUUGAUUCUACUAUUUGUCUGAGCUGAAGACUAACAUUCAUAGACCUUUUGUGGGAGCAACCCAAUCUCUACAAAUAUUAAAUGUCUUAAAUAAGAAUGGGGAUGCUUGGAAAUGUGGAAAGGAGUUAUUUGUAAGCCAUAUCAUCCAGUCUCUACAUCAAGCCUAUGUGACCUUAUGAUUUCAGAGAAUUAGAAUAAAAUAACUUUGGACUGUU